rnacentral:rRNA from 1 species
CGUAGGGUGCGAGCGUUAAUCGGAAUUACUGGGCGUAAAGCGUGCGCAGGCGGUUUGUUAAGAUAGGCGUGAAAUCCCCGGGCUCAACCUGGGAACUGCGCUUAUGACUGGCAAGCUAGAGUACGGCAGAGGGGGGUGGAAUUUCCGGUGUAGCGGUGAAAUGCGUAGAGAUCGGAAGGAAUACCAGUGGCGAAGGCGGCUACCUGGACAGAUACUGACACUGAGGCGCGAGAGCGUGGGGGAGCAAACAGGAUUAGAUACCCUGGUAGUCCACGCUGUAAACGAUGAAGACUAGAUGUUGGGCAGCAUGACUGUUUAGUAUCGAAGCUAACGCGAUAAGUCUUCCGCCUGGGGAGUACGGCCGCAAGGUUA